rnacentral:sRNA from 1 species
UUAAAAAAAAAAAAAAAGUGAAAUAGAAAGUAAAAGUGUCACGUGGCGAGAAUGAGGAGCAGACAGGUACCUAAAAUCAAGAACUCUGUUGAGGAAGGAGAAUUCAAACAAGAACAAGUGGGCAAAUCCCAUUCAUGUCUAACAGCCUACUAGCAAGCAGACUCAAAGCCCCAGAGUCCGUGCGCAGUGCUGCAUACAGACACACCAUUGGAUCACACCCAUUUCUAAGCUAGAAAAGCAAGGCAAGCCCUUCCAUCUUCUUACUACAGUAGCUGUCCUAUGGAGUUUAGAGAACUAACAUUUUAUUCUAUUUAUUCCUUUAUUUUCAGAAAGGGCCUCUCUACAUCACCCUGGCUGACCUGUUACUCAUUCUGUGGACCAGAUUAGCUUCAAACUCAGAGAGCUGGUUGCCUCUGUCCCAGCAACUGAAAGAUUUUAAAGUUAGCUGCACUUGCCUUCUGCAGGAAACCUCACUGUUAUAUGGAGCCAAAGCUGGCCGCAUUCUGAGCAGACUGUUAUACCACAGGCUGCUAAUGGAUAUACCACAGGCUGCUAAUGGACACAGAUAUCAGAGAAUGGAUGUUAGCUUGGAGCUUCCUGCCCAGCACAGGCAGUGUCCUGCCCGUAGGUGAGAGCACUGAGAGGUCACUGAGUCAGGGCUUAGAUUUAUGUGUAACUCAUUUAUGUGCAAUUCACAUGCUGCAUCAUCCAGGAUUCUCACACUGUAUAAGCCUAAGAUGAAAACAUACAGGAAGAAGACAGUGUGUUAAUUUUGUUAAACCUAGUAAUCUUGGUUUUAAAAGGACUGUUCUAAACUGUACUUUCUAAAAAAAAAUAUUCCAAAGUCAUGCAAAUUCUGA